GGUAGUUGGGGGUGGUGGGAGAAGGAGGCGGCGAAUCACUUAUAAAUGGCGCCCAAGCAGGACCCGAAGCCCAAGUUCCAGGAGGGCGAACGAGUACUGUGCUUUCAUGGCCCUCUUCUUUAUGAAGCAAAGUGUGUAAAGGUUGCCAUAAAGGACAAACAAGUAAAAUACUUUAUACACUACAGUGGUUGGAAUAAAAAUUGGGAUGAGUGGGUUCCAGAAAGCAGAGUGCUCAAGUAUGUGGAUACCAAUCUGCAGAAACAGCGUGAACUUCAAAAGGCCAAUCAGGAGCAGUAUGCAGAGGGAAAGAUGAGAGGGGCUGCUCCAGGGAAGAAGACAUCCGGUCUGCAACAGAAAAAUGUUGAAGUGAAAACUAAAAAGAACAAACAAAAAACCCCUGGUAAUGGAGAUGGUGGCAGUACCAGUGAAACACCUCAGCCUCCUCGGAAGAAGAGGGCCCGGGUUGAUCCUACUGUUGAAAAUGAAGAAACAUUUAUGAACAGAGUUGAAGUUAAAGUAAAGAUCCCUGAAGAGCUAAAGCCUGGCUUGUUGAUGACUGGGAUCUGAUCACCAGACAGAAACAGCUGUUCUAUCUUCCUGCUAAGAAGAAUGUGGACUCCAUUCUAGAGGACUAUGCAAAUUAUAAGAAAUCCCAAGGAAACACAGAUAAUAAGGAGUAUGCUGUUAAUGAGGUGGUAGCAGGGAUAAAAGAAUACUUCAAUGUGAUGCUGGGCACUCAGCUCCUCUACAAAUUUGAGAGACCACAGUACGCUGAGAUCCUUGCUGAUCACCCUGAUGCACCCAUGUCCCACGUGUAUGGAGCACCACAUCUACUGAGAUUAUUUGUCCGAAUUGGAGCAAUGUUGGCCUAUACACCUCUGGAUGAGAAGAGCCUUGCUUUAUUACUGAAUUAUCUUCAUGAUUUCCUCAAGUAUCUGGCAAAGAAUUCGGCAACUUUGUUUAGUGCCAGUGAUUAUGAAGUGGCCCCUCCUGAGUACCAUCGGAAAGCAGUGUGAGGCACACUCACCGGUGUUUGGAUCUCUGUCAACAUGUUUUUGUUCCUAGUCUUUCUCUUGUACAAAUGAUGUACUUUGAAGAUGUUAGUGUAUAACAGAGUUGUUUGUUUUGUUUGAUUUUAAACAGAAAAUAAAAGGGGUUACAGCUCCUUUUUUCUUUCUUUUUUUCAUUGCAAAGUUGCUA